UUCAAGAUAGUCGAUUCUGUGACACCAGACUUUGAUUCUGGAGGUAGUGAUUAAUUUCACUUCUUGAAU
rnacentral:tRNA from 1 species